rnacentral:lncRNA from 1 species
UUCUAGUAUGUAUUUUGAACAUGUUUUUCAGUUUUUUUUUCUGAACACGACGCUCUGCUUCUGCUGUAAAGUCCUUUUCUGUUUUUGCUGUCUACGUGUUCUCUGUUCUUUUCAAGAAAAGAAAACAACAACACUCCAUCCCCAGGCAUUUGGCCCGGAUCACGACAGCUUGAUUUGAAGAGCCUCCAAACCGGUAUUGACUUGACCCGUGG